rnacentral:ribozyme from 11 species
ACAAACAGAGGGAAAGCUUAGACAACAGAAGUCAAGGAAGCAAACAACCUCUCACAAGUAUUCAAUACCUUCACCUUCUUAGUCCCUGUCUCUCUCCUCUUUCUUUUAUUGCUCUUUCACUUUCUUUUCUCCCCAACUAUCUCCCCUCCCCAUUCAUCUUUCAUAAACAGAGAAAGAAAACAGUCAGAGAGAUGCAAAGA